rnacentral:lncRNA from 1 species
CUACUGCUCCUCUUAGAAGAGUAUUCCCCAUCAGAAAUGGCUCUUACAACUGGGACUCUUCUGAUUGGAAUUGAAGAGAGAGAGGUGCUGACAAAAGGAUAGGAUGAAAGCGAGAGGAGAAAAGGUGGGGUUGUAGGGAGGUUUUGGAAUUGAGAGUUAGGGUGUAGGGUUUUGGAGAAAGGAGGAAUAUUGAGAGAUGCCAUGGAAGUAGAGAUAGGGGGCACUCUAUGUGUUUGUGUUUGUGAUAAGGAGGGGCUUGGAUUUCAAUACAGAAUUGGAAUUGAGAAAAAAAAAUUCUCUUCUUAGGUCCUUCUUUGCUCUUCUCUUUCCUCGCCGCUACUGCUCCUCUUAGAAGAGUAUUGCCCAUCAGAAAUGGCUCUUACAACUGGGAGUCUUGAACUUUUUCCGAGUGGAAUUGAAGAGAGAGAGGUGCUGACAAAAGGAUAGGAAAGCGAGAGGAGAAAAGUAGGGGUUUUAGAGAAGUUAUGGAAUUGAGAGUUAGGGUGUAGGGUUUUGGAGAAAGGAGGAAUAUUGAGAGAUGCCAUGGGAGUAGAGUGUGUGUGUUUGUGUUUGUGAUAAGGAGGGACUUGGAUUUCAAUAAAAAUUAGGAAUUGAGCAAAAAAUUCUCUACUUUAGGUCCUUCUUUGCUC